GGCAUGGGGAAAGCGAUCUCCCCACGAGGCGACAUGCCGAAGCAGUCGCGUCCCAUCCACACGGAGGACGCAUCAUG
rnacentral:ncRNA from 1 species